UACCAGCACCCCGAGUGGUCGGGACGUUUAUUGGGCCUAAAGCAUCCGUAGCCGGUUCUACAAGUCUUCCGUUAAAUCCAACUGCUUAACAGGUGGGCUGCGGAAGAUACUAUAGAGCUAGGAGGCGGGAGAGGCAAGCGGUACUCGAUGGGUAGGGGUAAAAUCCGUUGAUCCAUUGAAGACCACCAGUGGCGAAGGCGGCUAUCUGGACGGUUUCUGACGCUAAGACGCGAAAGCGUGGGGAGCAAACAGG
rnacentral:rRNA from 1 species